rnacentral:rRNA from 1 species
GAUGAACGCUGGCGGCGUGCCUAAUACAUGCAAGUCGAGCGAACGGACGAGAAGCUUGCUUCUCUGAUGUUAGCGGCGGACGGGUGAGUAACACGUGGAUAACCUACCUAUAAGACUGGGAUAACUUCGGGAAACCGUAGCUAAUACCGGAUAAUAUUUUGAACCGCAUGGUUCAAAAGUGAAAGACGGUCUUGCUGUCACUUAUAGAUGGAUCCGCGCUGCAUUAGCUAGUUGGUAAGGUAACGGCUUACCAAGGCAACGAUGCAUAGCCGACCUGAGAGGGUGAUCGGCCACACUGGAACUGAGACACGGUACAGACUCCUACGAGAGGCAGCAGUAGGGAAUCUUCCGGAAUGGGCGAAAGCCUGACGGAGCAACGCCGCGUGAGUGAUGAAGGUCUUCGGAUCGUAAAACUCUGUUAUUAGGGAAGAACAUAUGUGUAAGUAACUGUGCACAUCUUGACGGUACCUAAUCAGAAAGCCACGGCUAACUACGUG